AUUGAACGCUGGCGGCAGGCCUAACACAUGCAAGUCGAGCGGAUGAAGGGAGCUUGCUCCUGGAUUCAGCGGCGGACGGGUGAGUAAUGCCUAGGAAUCUGCCUGGUAGUGGGGGAUAACGUCCGGAAACGGGCGCUAAUACCGCAUACGUCCUGAGGGAGAAAGUGGGGGAUCUUCGGACCUCACGCUAUCAGAUGAGCCUAGGUCGGAUUAGCUAGUUGGUGGGGUAAAGGCCUACCAAGGCGACGAUCCGUAACUGGUCUGAGAGGAUGAUCAGUCACACUGGAACUGAGACACGGUCAAGACUCCUACGGGAGGCAGCAGUGGGGAAUAUUGGACAGUGGGCGAAAGCCUGAUCCAGCCAUGCCGCGUGUGUGAAGAAGGUCUUCGGAUUGUAAAGCACUUUAAGUUGGGAGGAAGGGCAGUAAGUUAAUACCUUGCUGUUUUGACGUUACCAACAGAAUAAGCACCGGCUAACUUCGUG
rnacentral:rRNA from 1 species